rnacentral:misc_RNA from 1 species
AAGAAUUCGACCGCGUCAAGUAUUUUGGUAAGGAUCAUAAUCGUUAGACGAAACACAUAUACAGGCUGAAAAAAAUCGGCAUGUAUGUGUUGUAAAUACUAUAUCGCGAUGAGGGACGUGUGUUUAGUCAUUUUCUCUUCGAUCCGUGUAACAGCUUCGAGAUUAGCGAGUCAAAGAGAGAGCAGGGUCAUCGUGACGAUACGCGUUAUCAAGCUACUGCAAAUAGAAGAAACCGGCGAUCCGUAAAUAACACUGGGACAGUCAACUUCGAAUGGACUCGGAGGAGCAGUGGAGUUUUGAGAUGUUACUCUCGAGUGCUUGGUUCGAAGUAAUCGCUGCAGUUCUUUUGACGAUAUUGAUCUUCGUUACUAGCCAUCGGCCAGCAUGGUGGUUUUGGACAGCUACAUCUCACGAAGCUACCGCACCAGCCGAGGGCAAGUUCAGAACGGUAUCCAACAUUCCAGGGCCGUUUUCUUUACCGAUUUUUGGAACCAGAUGGAUAUUCUCUUGCAUCGGUUACUAUAAAUUGAACAAGAUUCACGAUGCUUACAAAGAUUUGAACCAACGAUAUGGCGCGUUGUGUAAAGAAGAAGCAUUAUGGAAUUUUCCAAUGAUCUCUGUCUUCUCCCGUCAGGAUAUCGAGACAAUCAUCCGCCGUAACUCCAGGUAUCCGCUUCGCCCCCCGCAAGAGGUGAUAUCUCAUUAUCGGCGGACACGCCGGGAUCGUUACACGAAUCUCGGUUUAGUCAACGAACAAGGACAAACGUGGCACGAUCUUCGGGUAGCUCUUACGUCGGAAUUGACGGCUGCCAGUACCGUACUUGGCUUUUUCCCGGCCCUGAAUAUCGUCGCGGAUUCGUUCAUCGAGUUGAUCCGGCGUCAAAGGGUCGGAUACAAAGUGACAGGUUUCGAAGAGCUUGCCUAUAAAAUGGGAUUGGAAAGUACAUGCACUUUGAUCCUGGGUCGACAUCUCGGUUUCUUGAAGCCAGACUCGAGUAGCGAGCUUGCGACGAGAUUGGCGGAAGCUGUCAGGAUACAUUUCACCGCCUCGCGGGAUGCCUUUUACGGAUUGCCGCUUUGGAAAUUGUUACCAACCUGUGCGUACAAACAGCUGAUAGAGAGCGAGGACGCUAUAUACAAUAUAAUUUCGGAGAUCAUCGAAACCACUAUACUGGAGAAACAAGACGAUGCCAAAGACGAGUCGGUCGAGGCCAUUUUUCAAUCCAUUCUCAGACAAAAGAAUCUCGAUAUACGCGACAAGAAAGCAGCCAUUGUCGAUUUCAUAGCGGCUGGCAUACACACGCUUGGAAACACUUUGGUAUUCCUGUUCCAUUUGAUCGGUCGUAAUCCGGCCGUCCAAGUCAAACUAUACGAAGAGACGCACGAGCUGGCACCGGCUGGUUGCGAUUUGACCAUCGACAAUUUACGGAGGGCCAAGUAUUUGCGCGCGUGCAUCACCGAAUCUCUACGAUUGAUCCCAACGACAACCUGCAUCGCACGCAUCUUGGACGAAUCCAUCGAACUUAGCGGUUAUCGUUUGACGGCGGGAGUUUGAACGAGGAGAAUUUCAAAGACGCGAAGAAAUAUUUGCCCGAGAGGUGGACGACACCUAGCGGCCCCCAUUCGCCGUUAUUAGUCGCACCUUUCGGCGCUGGAAGGAGAAUAUGUCCGGGCAAGCGAUUCGUCGAUCUCGCGUUGCAGCUUAUCUUGGCAAAGAUUAUACGGGAAUUCGAGAUCAUCGUGGAGGAAGAGCUCGAUUUGCAAUUUGAAUUUAUUCUCGCGC